rnacentral:rRNA from 1 species
GCCAGCCCGCUCAAGAACUCAAAUGAAUUGACGGGGCCCGCACAAGCGGUGGAGUAUGUGGUUAAUUCGAUGCAACGCGAAGAACCUUACCUGGUCUUGACAUCCCGGAGACCCUUAGGAAACUAGGGGGUGCUUCCAUCUGGAAGAAUCUGGAGACAGGUGCUGCAUGGCUGUCGUCAGCUCGUGUCGUGAGAUGUUGGGUUAAGUCCCGCAACGAGCGCAACCCUUGCCUUUAGUUGCCAGCAGUUCGGCUGGGCACUCUAAAGGGACUGCCGGUGUUAAACCGGAGGAAGGUGGGGAUGACGUCAAGUCCUCAUGGCCUUUAUGACCAGGGCUACACACGUACUACAAUGGCCGAUACAAAGGGCAGCGACACUGCGAGGUGAAGCCAAUCCCGUAAAAUCGGUCUCAGUCCGGAUUGGAGUCUGCAACUCGACUCCAUGAAGUUGGAAUCGCUAGUAAUCGUGGAUCAGCAUGCCACGGUGAAUACGUUCCCGGGCCUU